GGAUGUGAGGGUGAUCUAGCUGUGACAUCUGUCAACCCAUUGAUCACCAAGGGUUGAUUCAACUGAUCUGGCUGGCUCGAUGGGUGUCCCCUUCCUCCCUCGCCACUCCAUGUGUGGUCCCUCCCAAAUCUGUGUGCUGGUGGAACAGGACGACCUUCCCCAAAUAGAGAAGGAAGGGUCUUCAGUCAAGGGCACGUGAGUAGCUGUGCUCCCCUGCUAGAACCUCCAAACAAGCUCACAGAUGAACUUGGGAAGGGCCCCAAGUGGCAAGGAAGCUUUGCCUGGUUAAUCAUCCCAAUGGGAACAAGGUUCUCACUUU
rnacentral:snRNA from 1 species